UACGAAGGGGCUAGCGUUGCUCGGAAUCACUGGGCGUAAAGGGUGCGUAGGCGGGUCUUUAAGUCAGGGGUGAAAUCCUGGAGCUCAACUCCAGAACUGCCUUUGAUACUGAGGAUCUUGAGUACGGGAGAGGUGAGUGGAACUGCGAGUGUAGAGGUGAAAUUCGUAGAUAUUCGCAAGAACACCAGUGGCGAAGGCGGCUCACUGGCCCGUAACUGACGCUGAGGCACGAAAGCGUGGGGAGCAAACAGG
rnacentral:rRNA from 1 species